rnacentral:lncRNA from 1 species
AUAUAAUUAGUUGUAUAGUUUCUUAAUAAUAUAAUUAACUUUAUUGUUUCAAGAUAAAGUUGUAUCCUUGCAAGAUAUACUGGUAUUAUUGGCACAAUGGGCAAGCAUUGAAGUGCAACUUGGUGAACAACAAAAUACAUCAAAUUCAGUUAUAAAAAUUUGAGUAUCAAAGGUAUGCUAAUUAUUGUAUUGCCUGAAGGAGUGUCAUUGCCAUUAAAAGCAGUGAAGAAUUCAAGUACUCAGGAAGAAAAAAGACAAGAAAAUACUUCAGUAAAUGGCUGUGUAUUUUUGCAAGUUAAUUAUUUGGCACAAAUUGGAGUUAAAGACGAAGGAGAUUGUAUUUGUUAUUUACUAAGAAUAGUUUAUUAAAAUGGUCUAGCUGUAAAAUUAAAUUAUGCAGGGAAAGGAUAAAAAAUUGGAAUAGGAAAAAUGUUGAUUGCAUAUGCUGCUAUUGAAACUGUGAAGUCAAUUAAGCAUGGCUUAUGCAGACAUGUUAUAGAGAUAGCGGAAGAAAAAAUAAUAAUCGUGGGCACCAAAUAUCAUAAGCUAAACACGAUUCAAUAACAAGUA